UACGUAGGGGGCAAGCGUUGUCCGGAAUCAUUGGGCGUAAAGGGCGCGUAGGUGGUUCUGUAUGUCUAUCGUGAAAGCGUACGGCUCAACCGUAUUUUGGCGGUAGAAACUGCAGGACUUGAGGCUGGGAGGGGCUGGUGGAAUUCCCUGUGUAGCGGUGAAAUGCGUAGAGAUGGGGGAGAACACUCGUGGCGAAGGCGGCCAGCUAGACCAGUUCUGACACUGAGGCGCGACAGCGUGGGGAGCAAACAGG
rnacentral:rRNA from 1 species